rnacentral:rRNA from 1 species
UACGUAGGGUGCAAGCGUUGUCCGGAAUUAUUGGGCGUAAAGAGCUCGUAGGCGGUUUGUCGCGUCUGCUGUGAAAUCCCGAGGCUCAACCUCGGGCUUGCAGUGGGUACGGGCAGACUAGAGUGCGGUAGGGGAGAUUGGAAUUCCUGGUGUAGCGGUGGAAUGCGCAGAUAUCUGGAGGAACACCGGUGGCGGAGGCGGCAUCCUGGACCGACGCUGACGCUGAGGAGCGAAAGCCAGGGGAGCAAACGGG